rnacentral:tRNA from 1 species
GCCGGGGUACUCGAACGGUACAGAGGAUGGCCUCAAACGCCAUUGGGCUUCGGCUCUUGCGGGUUCGAAUCCCGCCCCCGGCA